rnacentral:piRNA from 1 species
UAUACGCCAAAUGAAAAAUUC